rnacentral:misc_RNA from 1 species
CUUUACGUGGGGGGGAGCAAUCCCCCCCUAAACGUCCACCCUCCCUUACGAGUACCUCUUGUUUCUUCCUCGGCAGGGGCAACCUGCCGGUGGAACUUCAACGAAAACCUUUUUGCAAUCUUACAGUACAACGUUCUGAUAAACAACACAAAUCGUUUA